rnacentral:rRNA from 1 species
GACGUAGGGCGCGAGCGUUGUCCGGAUUUAUUGGGCGUAAAGAGCUCGUAGGCGGCUUGUCGCGUCGUCCGUGAAAACCCACAGCUCAACUGUGGGCUUGCGGUCGAUACGGGCAGGCUAGAGUUCGGUAGGGGAGACUGGAAUUCCUGGUGUAGCGGUGAAAUGCGCAGAUAUCAGGAGGAACACCGGUGGCGAGGGCGGGUCUCUGGGCCGAUACUGACGCUGAGGAGCGAAAGCGUGGGGAGCGAACAGG